UACGGAGGGGGUUAGCGUUGUUCGGAACUACUGGGCGUAAAGCGCGCGUAGGCGGACUGGAAAGUUGGGGGUGAAAUCCCGGGGCUCAACCCCGGAACGGCCUCCAAAACUAUCAGUCUAGAGUUCGAGAGAGGUGAGUGGAAUUCCGAGUGUAGAGGUGAAAUUCGUAGAUAUUCGGAGGAACACCAGUGGCGAAGGCGGCUCACUGGCUCGAUACUGACGCUGAGGUGCGAAAGCGUGGGGAGCAAACAGC
rnacentral:rRNA from 1 species